rnacentral:lncRNA from 1 species
GUAUGCAGCCCCUAAAAGCAUGCUGCUAUAACUGUACACAUUUUAGUUUCCUUAACCGUAGCGGAACCGAAUUCAUAUCCGUUUAAGGACUGCCACCGCAUUUUUAUACGAGUACUCGAAAACAAUUACCGGAAAGCUUUAUACUACUAUAAAAAUUGCUAUUUUAAAUGGAUACAAAUUUCACCAAAACAACUAUCACACAAUUAUCAAAAAAUUCAAAAUCUAUAAGACGUUAGGUGGCAUCUCUACGCAUCAACUAAUCAAGCUCUUUCCAUUAGUGCUCCUACAAUGCACUCUAAAAAGAGCGCAGCUAUCUGAAAAAAUUUCGCGGUAAUAUUCAUUUGCUAGCGCAUUUGGAGCGAACAAACCAACGAUAAAGAAAUUCGCAAAUAAAAUUACAUUGAAAGUACAAAUGAUACUAUACAAAGAUACACAAACCAUAAAAUGCAUAAUCAACUGGCGGACUAGCACAUGCUCACAGCAAGGUCGCUCUGCAAAAGUGUUGGCAACUCUGAGAUACUAUAUUUAAAUGCCCUUUGUAUACACAAUAAAAAAACAACAAUUGCUUAAAAUCACAAUGCCCCUUAUCAAAGUGAAUGAGAUGUGAACGAUAACAAUAUGAAGUCAAUGCAGUUUAAAACCACAUUGAGACACCAUAAUUAAAGAAACUUAAUAUUUAGUACUUAUUUUCAUACAAAAUACAAAAAUAAUUAUAUUAAAUUAAUGUAUAUUUGUUGAUAUAUAUAGUACAGUGUGGCAUAGUACAUUAUUUGGAAAAAUUUCAUCUGCAAUAUCAACAGAUCACGUGCUGCAUUGACUGGCAAACACAUAUACAAGUGCAAUAACUUUUAUACAUAAAUACUAAUUUACGCAUACGUAAAAAUAUGUAUAUGAGUAAUUGUGGCAGUAGCCACACUGUUUUGAAGCGGGGCAACAAGGGAUUGAAAUAAAAUAUGCAACCGGCUUAUUCAUCCGCCUUCUGAAUAAUGCAUCGCCCAACCGAACUGAUGAUACAUCGACUACAACGCUUAUACAAGUACAUUUGAUACAGAGGCCGUUCAAUUGUUGGUAAUUAUACUUCAAUUGGUAAAGCUUGGAAAUAGUAUUUAACAACAAUGUACAUAUAAUUAUUCAAGAAUAUGGAUGCACCGAAGCUAAACUAACCUUUAAAAUAAAGAAUUUUCAAUACAACUUUGAUUUUGAUAGUUCAGCAGCUCUAUGAUAUAGUGGACCGAUAAAUGAGAGGUUCUUGUGUAGAAAAGACCGCAAGCACAAUAUAUUUGUACGUAUGCAUAUUUUAAAACUUUUAAUAAACAUAUACAUUACAUAUGGAUAUAAAAUCAACAAAAAAAAUAAUGAUAAAUGAGGCUUUUGAAAGUAAGUGGCGGUGUAUUAUUUACUAAUAUUAACCACUAGAAACAUAUAAAAUGAUAUAUGUCGAAUUUAGAACGAUUGCUUGUUGAGGCAUAGGAUAUACUAUGCAACCCUGCUUUCCAAUUAUCACUGCAGUAUUAUUGCGGCAUGACCACUCUGUACCGAGUUGAUUUAGCGCAUUACGUCAUCAUGACUACAUGGUUAGCUGCGUCGCAGCCGGGACAACCAUUUGCACCGCCAAAUUCCAAUUAUCCAUUAGUAAAAAUUUUUGAUGCAAAACGGUAAAGUUGACUCAGUUAAAAUCAACUUUUAAUUGAACCAUGCUCUAUGGAGAAUAGUGCCACCUUCCAUAACAAUGAUCAACUUUACUACAAAGUGCUCAGUUCCUUAAUGGAUACAAUGCACUUCGACGUAAAGUGAAUUAACUCUUUUGGCCAAUAUAUUAAUGACCUUUUCGUAUUAUAUUUAUGGCAUACACUUAUGUUAUACCUGCCUGUUCCACCUGCUCAUUUUUUUCUACCUACACAACCGCACUUUUCACAUUCUCUAAACACUUUAUACACAUUUAUAUGGCAGAUAACAAAGUCUCAUAACAAUUAAUUGCGCAUUCAAUAAACAUAUUUAAU